GCACUUAUGUUCGGGUGUGGUUGUUUGGCUUGAAUGGUUCCACCUGCACCUGCAUUAAAGAUUAGAUCGAUUAAUUUGUUACCUGGUGCAGCCACAUGAUCAGGCUCGAAUCGACCCGUGUGCACUUGACUUAAUUGACUCGCAGAGUUGAUUUGAUUUGUUGCAUGGCUGUGCUGAUUUAUCGCAUGUGGGCUCGAUCGCUUUGUGGAGUUGGCUCGUGAAUUAUUAACCAGCCUAUUUAACUCAUUGACCAUGAGUUGACAUCGGACCCUAUCACUGUUCAUCGUCUUCAACCUUUCUCGGUCGCUGCAAGGUUCAGUUCCACUGUCGUACGGUCGAGGGG
rnacentral:lncRNA from 1 species